rnacentral:tRNA from 1 species
GCCUAGUUAGCUUAGUUGGUAGUGCGUCGGCCUUGUAAGCGCUAGACCGCGGGUUCGAUUCCCGCCCGGGGCG